CUUUUUAUUCCUUCAUUUUCUUAGAAGUGUAGAAGACAAUUUAUCGUUUUUUUUUCCCACAUGUUGGUGAAGUAAACAAAUCGGGUAAGGUUUAUAAAAGGCGAACACGAAACAAUCUUGACUCAUCUGGUCGAUCAUCGCAGUCAAACAACAGACAAACUUCAUGAUGCGGUCCUACAUCUGCGUAUCCAUAAUGAUGGCCUCAAUAAUCCUGAUGUACACCCACGUUGAAGCACUUCAGGCAGAAAAAUUAGUGCCGCCGAACCCAAACCACCCCGGAAAGUGUUACGAUGACGAGACUAAUGCAGCCUACGGAGUUGGCGAGACUUGGAGCAAAACAGGGACCUGCAUCCGUUACAGAUGCAAAACGGGACCGGACAAUAAUUUCAUUAUCGAUAUCAACGGAUGCAGCCCUGUAAACGCAAGCCCUCCCUGCAGAGUCGUCAGUGGGAAAAGUGACGAGCCCUUUCCAGCGUGCUGUAACACUAUCGCCUGCGACUAAUCGGACCUACGACACGAAGGGAAAACUAUAAUUCUUGUAAAAUACUGGAAAAUUCUACUUCAGUCCAGCGACAAAUUGGUUUUCUUCUCCUAAGUCACUUCAUAACUCAAACCUGAAAUCCGAAUUUGAAUAGAGGAAUUAAACUACGGAGAGGAUCGCUCCGACAAUCCCAGUGCCAAUGCGUCUAUUGUAAACUAGACCUUACGUUAUUGUUGUAUUUGCUUGUAAUUUUCGAAGGUUAUAACAAGAUCUGAGAUGAAAUCUACAAAUUUGACGAUGGGAUUUGAAUAAAUUGCCAAAUUCUUAUCGUCCUGGAGGUCAUAAUGCGACCUUAAACUACGUGCGAGCCACACGAAGCUAUUCUAGCCGUACCAUCAAAUACUAAACCCACUCAAAAAACGCCUAGGUCGACAUUUAAGGCGAUUUAAUGUGGAGAAUUUAACUGAUUAGAUGAUAAUACAUGGAUGAUGAAGUGACUAAGAUAUUUUCUAGCAGCAUGCUUGUAAAUGUAGUCUAUUGUAAUAAAAUAUAUAUGUUAUUAAACGGGGAAAUAUUAUUCUAUGGCAAUUUAUUCCACUGAAAUCUUAAACUUCGGCCAAAUUAAAGUAUUCCUAUCAUAUUGUCAGACACUUAUUUUUACAAGAAAGCCUAGUUCACAGCUAGAAUAGGUGGUGUUCACAUUACGAAAUUCAAAUUCAAAAUAUUUCACUUCGACACCAGCACUUUCAAAGAUUAUUUUCUGAGUGGUCGUCUGUCUUACUUGAUGCUGUCAACGCGUUCCUGUCUAAUACGUUUUUUCAUAAACGAGGUUCUGGAAACCGAGUACUGGCAGUGUAACAUUCCGUCUGGCUUUGAUUGUACUUUAUUGGCGUCGUUCUGCCGGUAACGUGAAUUGUAACUGCACAGAAGACGUCGAACUGAGAUUACGAAUAUUAGUUUCCUCAAACAAAUAAACAAACAAACAAAGAGAGAAGCAAACCAAGGACUGGCAUCCGAGUGCACGAUAACUUCCUGAACUCGAACUUGGAUUUGGGGUCAAACAACCUCAAAAUAUUAUGUCAUUGCUAUUAAUUUUCAAAUACAAAUAAAUUUUUUUUAUAAAUCUGGCAAUGAUCUGUUCCUUUCCUGUUAAUUUCAUCUAUCGUAAAGAAAAAGUUUUAUGAUCAACAAAAUUCCCAUUCUUUUUGUGACCUACACCUUAAAAAAAUAAAAGACAAACUAUGAAGGAAGCAGAUUUCCGGUUGCGAUGUCAAAUGCCCGGUUCCUGGUUCCAGUAAUUUAAAUGUAAGAAUGACAUAUGUGACACUUACUGAAAGACGGAGAAUCAAACAUCUAUGUUUUGUCUACUUGCAAGUAUUACGUUCCGUCUGAUUUGUUCCGAGGCUGUUGAGCUGACAUGCACGUGAUUUGGGAUUAAGAAAAAAAAAAUUCUUGCCCCCUCGUGGAAAUCGCAUACCCGCUCGUUCAAACCAUUAAAUUUGCAAUUACGUAAUUUAGUGUUUCUAUUUGUCGUUUUGGUAAUUAACUUUCACUUAAGAGAAGUGCGUAGGUCUGCUGUGUUUUAAAGCUACCGACUGAGUUCCUGUUCGAACCGUCUUAUCACACCUCGAUAGUACAAUCAGGCUUCAAGGAAGACUAAAAACAGAAGUCAGUAAUUAGCGUGUCCCUUAUUGCGAACGGCAAUAAAUCUCGGUCUCUAUCUAGAAUCGACCAUCAGAGAGUACAGAACAAUUGACGUCUGUGAAAUGAUCAUGGCCAAAUUUAAGCUCACGUCGUGUUUUUUCUCAGUUUUCAUAGUCCUUCAUACGUCGGUGGAUGCUCAUUAUGACGAGGAUUUGAGAGUUGUGUAUUCUCACCCAGCAUUGUUCCAGAACACCCCGGAAAGUGUUACGAUGACGUCACUAAAGCAGCCUACUACGUCGGCGAGACUUGGGAACAAGGAGGAGAGUGCGUCCAGCACAAAUGCAUCCAGCACAAGGGGAAAUUCGUCAUUAGUACUUCCAGAUGCACUGACACUUCGAAAUUCGAAAAUGAUAUUUAUUGCUGGAUUAUGGAGGGAGAUAUCGCCAGUUCAUAUCCCAGCUGUUGCCCGAUAGUUCUUUGUGCCUAGUCGGAGUUAUCAGGCUAAGUAUAGGCCUGUACUAAGAAAGAAAGAAAGAAGAAAAGAAUGAAAGCAGAAAAGAAAAUAUCUGCACGCAACUGAAAAGCUUAAAGGAAAUAAGGCGACGUUCUAUUUUUAGAAACUUGUGGAAAUAAGUAACUAUUAAAUAAUUUAAAGUGUUGGAAUAUAAAA